AGACGGCUGUCCGUCUUGUUUAUAAAUUCAACUGGUCCAAAAUCCCUAAAGAAUGGCGACCGUUUGGAGUAUGAGAAAAACCGGAAGUUUCUGGGUGUCCAUAAAAACAAUCCGAGCCGGGAAAUGUGCACAAUAUGCGCUGACACAUUUUUUUCUGAACUGUCUCGAGUUCCGCAGAGGAGGACGAAGAAAUCUCAGCAUGUCUGUUGUUCAAAGCUUGAAACCAUGGUGUGUUCAGACGUUUUUGCUAAAAACUCAACUUCCCAUCGUGUGUUCGAUUUUAUUUGUUUUUGUUUUGAAUCACAGCGAAUUUUAUCUUUAUUGACAUGUAUAUGUGACAUUUUGUUGUACAUAGAAAGACACUACGACUUGUUGAAGAUUGAUGAUUAAUAAAUAUAUUUAAAUGUUG
rnacentral:misc_RNA from 1 species